rnacentral:misc_RNA from 1 species
GAUGAAGAACGUAGUGAAAUGCGAUAAGUAAUGUGAAUUGCAGAAUUCAGUGAAUCAUCGAAUCUUUGAACACACAUUGCGCCCGUCAGUAUUCUGGCGGGCAUGCCUGUUCGAGCGUCAUUACGCCCCUCAAGUCCCCUGUGGACUUGGUGUUGGGGAUCGGCGAGGCUGGUUUUCCAGCACAGCCGUCCCUUAAAUUAAUUGGCGGUCUCGCCGUGGCCCUCCUCUGCGCAGUAGUAAAACACUCGCAACAGGAGCCCGGCGCGGUCCACUGCCGUAAAACCCCCCAACUUUUUAUAGUUGACCUCGAAUCAGGUAGGACUACCCGCUGAACUUAAGCAUAUCAAUAAGCGGAGGA